rnacentral:rRNA from 1 species
GACGAACGCUGGCGGCGUGCUUAACACAUGCAAGUCGAACGGAAAGGCCCUGCUUUUGUUGGUUGCUCGAGUGGCGAACGUGUGUGUAACACGUGAGGAACCUGCCCUUGACUGUGGGAUAACUUCAGGAAACUGGGGCUAAUACCGGAUAGGAGCUCCUGCUGCAUGUUGUUGGUUGGAAAGUUUCGGCGGUAGGGGAUGGUCUCGCGGCUUAUCAGCUUGUUUGUGGGGUAGUGGCUUACCAAGGCUAUGACGGGUAGGCGGCAUGAGAGUGUUACAGGCCACGAUGGGCCUGAGAGACGCCACAGACUCGUACGUGCGGCAGUAGUGGGGAAUAUUGCACAAUGGGGGGAAGCCUGUUGCAGAAACCCCGCGUGCGGGAAGCCGGCCUUUGGGUUGUAAACCGAUUUCGCCUGUGACGAAGAGUGCUUGACGGUAAUGGGUAAAGAAGCAACGGCUAACUACGUG